GAAAAAGUUAUUAAGGGCAAGGAGUGGAUGCCUUGGCGAUAUCAGGCUAAGAAGGACGUGACAAGCUGCGAUAAGCUUCGGGGAGCGGCACAUACGCUUUGAUCCGGAGAUGUCCGAAUGGGGAAACCCGGCUGAUGUAACAAUUAGUCAUUGUGCGCUGAAUACAUAGGCGUAUAAAGCGAACCCGCUGAACUGAAACAUCUAAGUAGGCGGAGGAAAAGAAAGCGAAAGCGAUUCCCAGAGUAGUGGCGAGCGAAAUGGGAGCAGUCUAAACCGUUAGAAUUUAUUCGAACGGGGUUGUAGGAGCCAGACGUUGGAUCACGAAUAAUAGCGGAAUCCUUUGGAAAGAGGAGUCAGAGAGGGUGAUAGCCCCGUAUGCGAAAUUUGCAGUGACCAUAUGGAAUUCCUAAGUAGCACGGGCCACGUGAAAUCUCGUGUGAAUCUGCGCGGACCACCGCGUAAGACUAAAUACUCGAUAUCGACCGAUAGUGAACAAGUACCGUGAGGGAAAGGUGAAAAGAACUCCGUGAGGAGAGUGAAAUAGUACCUGAAACUGGUUGCCUACAAGCGGUCGGAGCACCUUUAUGGUGUGACGGCGUACCUUUUGCAUAAUGGGUCUGGGAGUUAUUGUCUACGGCGAGCUUAAAGCUUUACGGGCUGGAGGCGGAGCGAAAGCGAGUCUGAAUAGGGCGAUUAGUCAUAGGCAAUAGACCCGAAACGGGAUGAUCUACCCAUGGUCAGGUUGAAGCUCGAGUGAGAUCGAGUGGAGGACCGAACUGGUGGACCUUGAGAAGUUCUCGGAUGAACUGUGGGUAGGGGUGAAAGGCUAAUCAAAUUCCGUUAUAGCUGGUUCUCUUCGAAAUAUAUUUAGGUAUAGCCUCAUGCGCUGACGAUCGGGGGUAGAGCACUGAAAAGGCUAGGGCCCAUACCCGGGUACCAAACCUUAUCAAACUCCGAAUACCGGUCGGUGUAGCAUGGGAGUCAGUCUGUGGGGGAUAAGCUUCAUGGACGAGAGGGCAACAGCCCAGACCGCCGAUUAAGGCCCCAAAAUCAUUACUAAGUGGUAAAAAGGAUGUGAAUUUACUUAGACAAUAGGGAUGUUGGCUUAGAAGCAGCCAUCAUUUAAACAGUGCGUAAUAGCUGACCUAUCGAGCGAGUUUGCGCCGAAGAUGAUCGGGACUAAAGUAAUGUGCCGAAAUUGCGGACUUAUAAAUAUUAUGAGUGGUAGAAGAGCGUUCCAAUCGGGCAGAAGCCAAAGGGGCAACCGAUGGUGGACUGAUUGGAAGUGAGUAUCCAGACAUGAGUAACGAUAAAUACGGUGGGAAUCCGUAUCGCCGAAAGGACAAGGUUUCCUGGGGAAGGUUCGUCC
rnacentral:rRNA from 1 species